GGACUACCCGGGUUUCUAAUCCGGUUCGCUCCCCACGCUUUCGUGCCUUAGCGUCAGAAAUGGACCAGUAGCCUGCCUACGCCAUUGGUGUUCCUCCCAAUAUCUACGGAUUUUACCCCUACACUGGGAAUUCCAGCUACCUCUUCCAUUCUCAAGUCUGUCAGUUCGGGAAAUAGCCGUACGGUUGAGCCGUACGAUUUCACUGCCCGCUUAACAGACCGCCUACGCAACUCUUUACGCCCAGUCACUCCGGAUAACGCUUGCCUCCUCCGUCUUACCGCGGCUGCUGGCAC
rnacentral:rRNA from 1 species